rnacentral:misc_RNA from 1 species
UUAACUAUUAUAUAGUACUCAGACGACAUUAAUAAUAAGAGUUUUGGGUCCUCUGGCAAGCACUGACCAGCCGAAGCCGGUGGUCCGAAGACGGGCCUGCCAAAGCAACAAAGGUAAUAUAAACAAAGGGUGGGAGAUCUACCCCGAAGGGCAUAUUCUCUUUAAUGAUCCUUCCGCAGGUUCACCUACGGAAA